rnacentral:rRNA from 1 species
AGUGGAUGGGGAGCAACCUAGUUGUGCGUGUGUAAAGGUAGUGCCAAGAAAAGCGAUGAUCAUGUUGAAAAUCAAUUCCCGGUACCCGAAACCGACACAGGUGGGCAAGUAGAGAAUACUAAGGGGCGCGAGGUAACUCUCUCCAAGGAACUCGGCAAAAUGACCCCGUAACUUAGGGAGAAGGGGUGCCACCGAGAGGUGGUCGCAGUGAAGAGGCCCAGGCGACUGUUUAGCAAAAACAUAGGUCUCUGCAAACUCGAAAGAGGAGGUAUAGGGGCUGACGCCUGCCCAGUGCCGGAAGGUUAAAGAAGUUGGUCAGUUUUAGGAUGAAGCUAGCGACUGAAGCCCCGGUGAACGGCGGCCGUAACUAUAACGGUCCUAAGGUAGCGAAAUUCCUUGUCGGGUAAGUUCCGACCCGCACGAAAGGCGUAACGAUCUGGGCGCUGUCUCGGAGAGAGGCUCGGCGAAAUAGGAUUGUCUGUGAAGAUACGGACUACCUGCAUUUGGACAGAAAGACCCUAUGAAGCUUUACUAUAGCUUGGAAUUGUGUUCGGGCUUCCUGUGCGCAGGAUAGGUGGGAGGCGUAGAAGGUAUUCUUGUGGGGAUACUGGAGCCAACGGUGAGAUACCACUCUCAGGAGGCUAGAAUUCUAACUUAAUUAAGGACAGUUUCAGGUGGGUAGUUUGACUGGGGCGGUCGCCUCCAAAAAGGUAACGGAGGCGUACAAAGGUUCCCUCAGACUGGUUGGAAAUCAGUCGAAGAGUGCAAAGGCAGAAGGGAGCUUGACUGCGAGAAGUACAGUUCGAGCAGGGUGGAAACACGGUCUUAGUGAUCCGACGGUGCUGUGUGGAAGGGCCGUCGUUCAACGGAUAAAAGUUACUCUAGGAUAACAGGCUGAUCUCCCCCAAGAGUUCACAUCGACGGGGAGGUUUGGCACCUCGAUGUCGGCUCAUCGCAACCUGGGGCGGAAGUACGUCCCAAGGGUUGGGCUGUUCGCCCAUUAAAGCGGUACGUGAGCUGGGUUCAGAACGUCGUGAGACAGUUCGGUCCAUAUCCGAUGUAGGCGUGAGAAUAUUGAGAGGAGCCUUCCUUAGUACGAGAGGACCGGGAAGGACGCACCGCUGGUGUACCUGUUAUGAUGCCAAUUGUAAACGCAGGGUAGCCAAGUGCGGAGAGGAUAACCGCUGAAAGCAUCUAAGUGGGAAGCCCACCUCAAGAUGAGUAUUCUGGUGUAAGGUCACGGGAAGACGACCCGUAAAUAGGCACGAGGUGGAAGUGCAGAGAUGUAUGAAGCCGAAGUGUACUAAUAGACCGUCGGCUUGAC